CUGAGCCGUUUCCAGGGUGGG
rnacentral:siRNA from 1 species